AGCCCUAAAAAGGAAAAAAAAAAAAUGCUCAUGGGUGGGAGAAAGCUAUGAGAGUGGUUGGGACUUUGAGGAAUCCCAGUGAGGAGGUGAUAGUGAUUAAGAGCAGUAGCAUUAAGCCAGAGAAAGCUGAGUUUACUUGGUUUAAAAAGACAAAAAAGGGGUGGGAGAGAGAAAAGAGAAUCAGUCAGAAGGACUGUAUUUUGUCUGAAACAUAGAACACUGCAAGGUCAUAGAAGUAGAACGGGCAACCAUUCCUUAGUACCAUGCAAGACAAAAUUGCUCUGACCUCCAGUUUUCACCUAUAAUAGAUGUACCCUGAGUUGAUGGAUUGGUUCUUCAUAAUUGAAAAAUUAUGAAUCUAACUCUUCUUGCCUUAAUACCAUAAUAACCAAGCAACUUUUGCUUUAUCAAUUGACUUCCUGUAUAUAUCUGCCUAAGGAUAGAAGGAUACUCAGGCAACAAAGAUAUAAGCACUUGAUCUUUGGAACUUUUAUCACUUUGCUUAAUGUAAUGCUGAGAUUUCCCACCUUUGGUAUGCUGGGGAGAUUGCCUUUUUUACCAAGUACCAGAAUCUGGUCCAUGGAAAAUUUGUCUUCUGAAUCCUUUAGAGUCAUAGUGAUCUAGCAAACAGUGUGUUUCCAACAUCUAUGGCCUGAGGCUUCCUUAUGGCAUUCAUCACCUUCUACCCUGUGUCAUAAUUUGAGAGGUAUGGUGAAAUAACUUUGCCAUACUAACUUUGAAUAUUGGAUCUCAGACUGAUUCAUCCUGGUAUCUGCAGUGCAUUCCCAGUGCUUUGUGACAGGCCAUUAUUUUUCAAACUAGGAGCCAUUGUGAGUGAGAAUAUAUAUAUUCUACUUCUGGAGGGAAAUCAUAUCCAGUCACCUGACAACCCGAUCACCCUUUGCUUUGGAGAAACGAAUUUCAGCCCAUGGAGCAGAUAUGGGGUAUAGCUUGUGUACUGCCCAUCUCAUGAGCUAAGGAUGGGUUUAACAUUUCUUUUCUUUUCUAUUUUUUAGGGCCGCACCCACAGCAUGUGGAGGUUCCCAGCCUCGGUGUCGAAUGGAGCUGUAACUGCCAGCCUAUGCCACAGCCACAGUAACGAAGGAUCCAAGCUGCCAAGCCCCAUCCAUGACCUAUACCACAGUUCAUGGCAAAUGCCGGAUCCUUAACCCACCAGUCAAGGCCAGGGAUCAAACCCACAUCUUCAUGGAUACUAGUCUGACUCAUUACUGUUGAGCUACAAUGGGAACUCCCCAGAUUAAACAUUUUUAAAAACUUCUAGAUUCAAACAAACUAAUAGAAAAGAGAGGAGAAUAUGAAACAGAGACUGUAUGUGGCUCAUAAAGCUGACAAUAUUUACUACCUAGCCUUUUAUGGAAAAUAUUUGUCAAUCCCUGCCUUAGAUCACCACACCAAACUAUGACAUUAUCGUACUUUACCAAUUAGUGUCAUGUGACUAAUUUCUUAUAAUUAAAUCUGUUCCUUGAGAAAUGUCCUUUCCAUAUGAAAGAAGUUUUCUGAAAAGGAUGUGACUUGCAAACUUCUAUAGAUUAACUUGGAUUUUACUCAGCAAAAGUUGAAACAAAGAUUUCAGUUAGUAUCUUACUACCUCCAAAUAAAUGCAAUCUAACCAUAUGUUUAAACAAUCUUUGGUUCCAAGUUAACACAUUUUAUGUCCUUUCCAUCCUAUUUAAGGUAAUUAAUUUGGGUGUACAUCUUAACCUAGGAUCUUAAAACUAAGUAUUACUUAGUGAUUUCUUCUCAGAAGGACAAUAAAUAAGAACUAUUUGAUGUUUUUAGUUUAAAUAGUUCUAUACCCAGUCUAGCUCUAUUAUUAACUUUGCCCUAAUUUAUUUCUGCAAUUAUUUAAAAAAGCAAGCAUUAUACAUUACUUAAUCCUAGAUUGAGCUUUUAUUUUUCUUUACAUGUUCACACUUAAAUCAUCUUUAUUUUGACAUUAGGGAUGGCCUUUUUGACUUAUUUAAAAUAGUCACUUGAAAGGGGAAACAUAUUAUGGCUGAUUUGUUUAAUGAUGAGGGAAUAAAGCCUGACAUUUUAGAAACAUAUUAGUUCCAAAAAAAGAGAAUCUCUUAAGUGAAACAUCAGUAAUGUGUUUACAAAAGGUCAAUGAUUUAUUACCUCCUAACAGGUGGAGCAGAGCCACUUAAUCUAGGCUAAUCAAUUUAUAUUUUCUCCAAGCUUCAUGAUUUCAGAAUCGUUAUAUGAACACAUAAGCAUAUGGGAAAUUAGCAAGAUGGCAUGGAGAGAUGGACACUUGGAAGUUUUGUGUUGUUUUAGUCCUUUUGUGGAGCAGGGCUGGAAAGAUGGGGGAGCAGAGGCUGAGCUAUGGUAAGCAAUAGAGUGGUACAGUAUUGAUGGUUCAGUCCCUUGUACUCAUCUUCUCUUUCUCUUCCCAUGUGUUUUGCUGGACCACUGGUAUUAACUGGGCAAGAGCCUGCCAAACCUUUUUUUAAAUUUGGAGGUCCCUGUGGUGUAGCUGUUACAGAUCCAGCGUUGCCACUGCUGUGCUGUGGGUUCGUUCCUUCACCCAAGAAUUUCCACAUGCUGGGGGCUCAGCCAAAAAACAUUUUCAGAAUAAAAUAGAGGUUUGUGGAUAAGAAAGUUAGCUAUCAUUAUGCUGCAAAACAUCACUUCUCUAUUGCCUCUGCAUCUUAGAAAAUUACUAGUUCUGUGGCUAUAAUCAUGUCUAAAGAUUUGCAGGGAAGAAAAAAUUGGAGAAUUCUGGAUGGAACAUAUUGAUAGGGUAUCUGCUGCCAGAGAUCAUGUAGUUGAAUUAAAAACAUAAUCAAACAAGAUAUAGAAAGUAAAAGGGGAGUUCCUCUCAUGGCUCAGUGGAAAUGAACCCAGCUAAGAUCCAUGAGGAAUCAGGUUUGAUUCCUCGUCUCGCUCAGUGGGUUAAGUAAGGAUCCAUCAUUUCGGUGAGCUGUGGUGUAGGAUGCAGAUGUGGCUUGGAUCUGGCAUUGCUGUGGCUGUGGUGUAGGCCAGGGGCUAUAGCUCUGAUUUGACCCCUAGCCUGGGAAUCUAAAUAUGCCAUGGGUGCAGGCCUAAAAAGACAAAAGAAAGAAA
rnacentral:lncRNA from 1 species